rnacentral:rRNA from 1 species
UACGUAGGGUGCGAGCGUUGUCCGGAAUUACUGGGCGUAAAGAGCUCGUAGGUGGUUUGUCGCGUUGUUCGUGAAAACUCACAGCUCAACUGUGGGCGUGCGGGCGAUACGGGCAGACUGGAGUACUGCAGGGGAGACUGGAAUUCCUGGUGUAGCGGUGGAAUGCGCAGAUAUCAGGAGGAACACCGGUGGCGAAGGCGGGUCUCUGGGGCAGUAACUGACGCUGAGGAGCGAAAGCGUGGGGGAGCGAACAGG